AAGAACAUCUAUCUCCUAAUUGUUCCUAGGAGAAUCUCAAUAUGCAGCAGCUGAAGCGAACGAAAAAGAUAAAGAUUGUGUCGAUGAAUCUGUUCAAGAACCCUUACUUUUUAAUCUUACUUUUUAAUAUUUGUAAAAUUUUUAAUGCUAUCAUGCAGUCAAAGUGUUGAAAGCAGAAUGACAAAGAGACGGGAAGAUUGUGAAGUUUGCAAGGAUGAUAGCACUUCUUCGAGUGACAGAGAGACGGGAAAAUAGGUUGUAUGCAUGGCUGCACAACGGAAGAAGCCGACAAGCUGAAGCAAUUAAGGUGAUUUUGGUAUUAAAGUGAGCCUUAGCCAUCAAUCACCUCAAGUUCUGCAGAUUUAAAUGGAGAUCUACGAGACGAUGGUUCUGCUAUAAAAAGAGCAAGCUAUGGCAAGUGCAAAACUGGUAAGCGGGAAGGAUUCUUACAAUGAGUGCAAAUUAGACAAUCUCAAUUCUCACAAGGUGUCGAAAGCAGAAAAUAUGACAGCAAACUGAAAGUCGGUUGGUUUCUUCACACACCAUUUCCAUCUUCUCAAAUUCACAGGCUGCUGCCGUCUCGAUCAGAGCUGUUACGUGCUGUUCUUGCUGCUGAUGUAGUUGGAUUCCAUACCUAUGACUAUGCAAGGCACUUUGUUAGUGCAUGUGCUAGAAUUCUCGGACUUGAGGGUACACCUGAAGGAGUGGAAGAUCAAGGAAGGCUGACCCGUGUGGUCGUGG